rnacentral:rRNA from 1 species
CAACGGAGAGUUUGAUCCUGGCUCAGGACGAACGCUGGCGGCGUGCUUAACACAUGCAAGUCUACGAGAAAGAGGUAUUUAUAUCUCGAUUAAAGUGGCGCACGGGUGAGUAACACGUAAGCAAUCUACCCUUAGAUACGGAAUAAC